rnacentral:misc_RNA from 1 species
GGACUACUCGGGUUUCUAAUCCUGUUCGCUCCCCUAGCUUUCGCGCCUCAGCGUCAGUUGCCAGCCAGGACACUGCCUUCGCCUUUGGUAUUCCUCCGGAUAUCUACGCAUUUCACCACUCCACCCGGAAUUCUAUGUCCCUCUCUGGCCCUCAAGUCCAGCAGUUUUCGAAGGCCUUCCCCAGUUAAGCCGGGAACUGUCACUCCAAACUUGCUGCACCGCCUGCACGCCCUUUACGCCCAGUAACUCCGGACAACGCUCGCCCCCUACGUAUUACCGCGGCGGCUGGCACGA